rnacentral:piRNA from 1 species
UCACUGUGAAAUGUUGCCUACUUGAUUGA